rnacentral:rRNA from 1 species
AUACGGAGGGCGCAAGCGUUGUUCGGAAUCACUGGGCGUAAAGUGCGCGCAGGCGGUCUUUUAAGUUGGAUGUGAAAGCCUACGGCUCAACCGUAGAACUGCAUCCAAAACUAUUAGACUAGAGUGUGGGAGAGGAAGAUGGAAUUAGUUGUGUAGGGGUAAAAUCCGUAGAGAUAACUAGGAAUACCAAAAGCGAAGGCAAUCUUCUGGAACACUACUGACGCUGAGGCGCGAAAGCGUGGGGAGCAAACAGGAUUAGAAACCCUAGUAGUCC